rnacentral:rRNA from 1 species
AUUGAACGCUGGCGGCAGGCCUAACACAUGCAAGUCGAGCGAGCGGCGGACGGGUGAGUAAUGUCUGGGAAACUGCCUGAUGGAGGGGGAUAACUACUGGAAACGGUAGCUAAUACCGCAUACCAUCAGAUGUGCCCAGAGGGGUUUAGCUAGUAGGUGGGGUAAUGGCUCAACUAGGCGACGAUCCCUAGCUGGUCUGAGAGGAUGACCAGCAACACUGGAACGGAGACACGGUCCAGACUCCUACGGGAGGCAGCAGUGGGGAAGAUUGAGCAAUGGGAGCAAGCAUGAUGCAGCAAUGCCGCGUGUGUGAAGAAGGCCUUCGGGUUGUAAAGCACUUUCAGCGGGGAGGCGUUACCCGCAGAAGAAGCACCGGCUAACUCCGUGCCAGCAGCCGCGGUAAUUC